UCUUGGGUCAUUUAGAGGAAGUAAAAGUCGUAACAAGGUUUCCGUAGGUGAACUGCGGAAGGGAUCAUUAACGAGUUUUGAAACGAGUUGUAGCUGGCCUUCCGAGGCAUGUGCACGCUCUGCUCAUCCACUCUACCCCUGUGCACUUACUGUAGGUUGGCGUGGGCUCCUUAACGGGAGCAUUCUGCCGGCCUAUGUAUACUACAAACACUUUAAAGUAUCAGAAUGUAAACGCGUCUAACGCAUCUAUAAUACAACUUUUAGCAACGGAUCUCUUGGCUCUCGCAUCGAUGAAGAACGCAGCGAAAUGCGAUAAGUAAUGUGAAUUGCAGAAUUCAGUGAAUCAUCGAAUCUUUGAACGCACCUUGCGCUCCUUGGUAUUCCGAGGAGCAUGCCUGUUUGAGUGUCAUGGAAUUCUCAACUUAUAAAUCCUUGUGAUCUAUAAGCUUGGACUUGGAGGCUUGCUGGCCCUUGCGGUCGGCUCCUCUUGAAUGCAUUAGCUCGAUUCCGUACGGAUCGGCUCUCAGUGUGAUAAUUGUCUACGCUGUGACCGUGAAGUGUUUUGGCGAGCUUCUAACCGUCCAUUAGGACAACUUUUUAACAUCUGACCUCAAAUCAGGUAGGACUACCCGCUGAACUUAAGCAUAUCAAUAAGCGGAGG
rnacentral:rRNA from 1 species